CAGCUGCAAGUUUCUCUGAGUCAGGUGCUCUCCACAUCCCUGAGCCACCUUCAGCAAGAGUUGGAAAGCCUCAAAGAUCUGUCCUUUCCUUUGGCUCUGUUAUGGUCUCCCGUGUGAUGCUCCCAUUUCUCCGUGUUUUGGUGUGGUGGGCUCCAACAUCCCGCACUUCCAUGGGAAUAUCUGCAGUGCUCCUGCCUUUCCUCCUCAGCCUGGGGCUGGACAGCCACCUGGCUCCUUGGCAAAACCUCCAGGAGCCACCCUGGGCCGUGGCACACCAGCCAUGGUUGGUCAUCAGCCCCCUCUGGAGCGGCAGAUCAGCCCUUGGAGGGGAGGGACAGGCAGCUCUGAGUGACCACGGUGACAAAUUCAAAGUUCUUAAAAGUCAAAAGUAUUUUGGUCUCUGCAGCCACGUUUGGACGAUCCCUUCUCCAGUGACCACAGGAGUUUGUAACUCAUGGAGCAAAGAGUGGGGAAGGAGCAGGUCCGUAGGACUGGCCAAAUGUGGUUUUCCUUGGAGGGCUUUAAAAAAUGGUCAUUUUCAUUUGAAAACAAACCCUCAAACCCCAGCUGCUCUCCAUGGGUGCAGAGGUGUGGGGAGCUGGGAAUGAAAGGAACACGAAGCACUAGGAGGGAAGUGAUCAGAUAAUAAAAAUUAAGAGUUUUGGCUGCA
rnacentral:lncRNA from 1 species